GAAUGCCUACGGGGGGCAGCAGUGGGGGAUAUUGCACAAUGGGGGGAACCCUGAUGCAGCGACGCCGCGUGGGCGAUGGAGUGCUUCGGCAUGUAAAGCCCUAUCAGCAGGGAAGAAAAUGACGGUACCUGACUAAGAAGCCCCGGCUAAAUACGUGCCAGCAGCCGCGGUAAUACGUAUGGGGCAAGCGUUAUCCGGAAUUACUGGGUGUAAAGGGUGCGUAGGCGGCACGCCAAGUCAGUUGUGAAACCCGUAGGCUCAACCUACGGCUUGCAAUUGAAACUGGCGAGCUAGAGGACAG
rnacentral:rRNA from 1 species